UGUCGAAGCUACCAUGCCCACAGCCCC
rnacentral:piRNA from 1 species